AGCGAACGCUGGCGGCAAGCUUAACACAUGCAAGUCGAACGCCCAGCAAUGGGAGUGGCGGACGGGUGUAUAACACGUGGGAAUCUACCUUUCAGUACGGAAUAACUCAGGGAAACUUGUGCUAAUACCGUAUAAUGUCUCCGGACCAAAGAUUUAUCGCUGAAAGAUGAGCCCGCGGCAGAUUAGCUAGUUGGUGGGGUAAUGGCCUACCAAGGCAACGAUCUGUAGCUGGUCUGAGAGGAUGAUCAGCCACACUGGGACUGAGACACGGCCCAGACUCCUACGGGAGGCAGCAGUGGGGAAUAUUGGACAAUGGGCGCAAGCCUGAUCCAGCUAUGCCGCGUGAAUGAUGAAGGCCUUCGGGUUGUAAAGUUCUUUUAGGUGGGAAGAUUAUGACGGUACCACCAGAAAAAGCUCCGGCUAACUUCGUGCCAGCAGCCGCCGUAA
rnacentral:rRNA from 1 species